rnacentral:lncRNA from 10 species
AGUGCGCAUUGCCUACCCCGUGCUACAGGACUUCGCUGAGCGCCAGGCGCAGGGACUGGACGCAUACGGACCCCCGGGAGCCCCGGAACUCGCGUUCCCACGCCAGACCUCAUCCCCUUCUGACAGAGACGCCCUCGUCCCACCGUCGCCGCAGCAACCAAUCAAGGAUAUUGUCACCGGGGGUCCUUGCUCCCAGAGCUCCCAAGAUGGUGGUGGGCUGCUUCCGAGAUGGGGGCAAGCCUCAUGUUCUCUGACCUGGGGUUCUUGGCCUCAUGGAUUACAAGGAAUGGAAUUUUGGGCUAUGUGGUGAGUGUUAUAGCUCAAUUAGAAGCCGUGGGUCACGGAAGAGAACUGUGGAACCCAGUGACUAGUGUUCAGCUCGAUUAGGACCAACCUGGGACUUAGCUGUGCAGGAACAAUGGCAAGCCUUUAGCCCAACUUGGGAGCAGCAAUGGGCACCUCGCUGGAUCAGGAGCACAGCGGACACCCUGCCAGAUCCGGAGGGAUGGAAGUCAGCGGCGGGUCUGCGAAGGCCGCAAACAGCAGCGGUGGACAGCGAGCGAAAGCUCAGCUCAAGCCGUAACAAACACGGACCAGAAGAGAGUGCAGUUGCAAGAUUUAAUAGAAUGAAAACACAGCUCCCAUGCAAAGGGAGGGGACCCAAAGUGGGUAGCUGUUGCCGGCUCCAAUGCCUGGGUUUCUAUCCCGAUCAUUGUCCCUCCCGCUGUGCUCUUAGGCAAUAGAUGAUUGGCUAUUUCUUUACCUACUGUUUUUGCCUAAUUAGCAUUUUAGUUAGUUCUCUUUACUACCUGAUUGGUCGGAUGUGAGCUAAGUGCAAGCCCCUUGUUUAAAUGUGGAUGCAGUCAACUUCUCAGCUAAGCUUAGGGAUUCUUAGUCGGCCUAGGAAAUCCAGCUAGUCCUGUCUCUCAGUAUCACAGUACAUUUACUUGUCAUGUCUUAGCCUUGGCCAGUUUGUAAUAGUUUCUUGCUCCUACCUUGUCUUUCAUGACCUUGCUAUGAAGAUGAAAGCACGCUCUCUUGACUUCAGUCCUCCCACCUUGGCUUCCCAAAGUGCUUGGGAUUACAGGCAUGAGCAACCACACCCAGCCUAUAGUUUAACUUUAAAACAAGAACGAUAAUGAUCCCUUCCUGAAACUAACCCCCUCCUUGUUUGGGGACAAAAACCGUUUUUGUAAAACUAGUGGAAGUCCACAAGUUUAGAAUUUUGGUAGGAACCUGAAUUCUGUAAGAUGCAGGCAUAAACUCUAACCAGUUUUUGCUUUUAUAAUCUGCCUUUUUGUAACUGCUUACUACUCCAGAGUCACAUAGCCAGUGGUCACAAGAUUUAUAACAUCUCCAAUUGUCACUAUAGAUAAUGUCACUAUUGUAAAACCUAAAACUAGUGUUUGAGUUAUUUUUCAGACUUUACAUUCUGAUGGACCAACUGGUGCCACUGGGACCAGUAACCCAUAGCAAAAAAUGGACUCAGUUGAUCCUGUGACCCCCUUCAAGAACCGAUUCAACACAAGAAGACAGUUUCAACAGCCCUAUGAUUUCAUCCCUGACCCAGCCAAUCACCAUUCCCCAUUCUCUAGCCUCCUGAUGGGCAGGAGGCUAGAGAGGUUCAAAGUUUUUCAUCCUUGAAAGACUGUAGCCUCCAAAUUCUCAGGAAGGCAGAUUUGAGAAUUAUCUCUUAUACUUGCUUGGCCACCCUGCAAUUAUUAAACUCUUUUUCUGCUGCAAUCCUGUCGUUCUCAGUUUAUUGGCUUUUUUCUAGGCAGCAGCCAAGAAGAACCCACAUGGUAACAUUCUCCUGAUUAGACUGAGGUUGUGAGUUUUUAGG